rnacentral:misc_RNA from 1 species
UUGAGAGAUUGGGGGGAAUUUUUUUGAU